UUUAUAUGAGAGUUUGAUCCUGGCUCAGGAUGAACGCUGGCGGCGUGCCUAAUACAUGCAAGUCGAACGAGUUCUGAUUAUUGAAAGGUGCUUGCAUCUUGAUUUUAAUUUUGAACGAGUGGCGGACGGGUGAGUAACACGUGGGUAACCUGCCCUUAAGUGGGGGAUAACAUUUGGAAACAGAUGCUAAUACCGCAUAAAUCCAAGAACCGCAUGGUUCUUGGCUGAAAGAUGGCGUAAGCUAUCGCUUUUGGAUGGACCCGCGGCGUAUUAGCUAGUUGGUGAGGUAACGGCUCACCAAGGCAAUGAUACGUAGCCGAACUGAGAGGUUGAUCGGCCACAUUGGGACUGAGACACGGCCCAAACUCCUACGGGAGGCAGCAGUAGGGAAUCUUCCACAA
rnacentral:rRNA from 2 species